rnacentral:rRNA from 1 species
AGGGAAUAGAUACCCCGGUAGUCCUGGCAGUAAACGGUGCGCGUUUGGUGUGGGAGGAUUCGACCCCUUCUGUGCCGGAGCUAAACGCGUUAAAAACGCGCCGCCUGGGGAGUACGGUCGCAAGAUUAAAACUCAAAGAAAUUGACGGGGCCCGCACAAGCGGUGGAGUAUGUGGCUUAAUUCGAUGCAACGCGAAGAACCUUACCUAGCCUUGACAUGCAUCUCUAAGUCGGUGAAAGCCGGCGAGUGUAGCAAUACACAAUUUGCACAGGUGCUGCAUGGCCGUCGUCAGCUCGUGUCGUGAGAUGUUGGGUUAAAGUCCCGCAACGAGCGCAACCCCUGUGAACUGUUGCCACCGACCUGGUCGAGCACUCUGUUCAGACUGCCCUGUGAACGGGAGGAAGGUAGGGAGUGACGUCAAGUCAGCAU